GGAUUUACAAGUUGCAAGAUUUUUCUUUUCAGCAAAUAUACCAUUCAACGUAGUAGAAAAUCUUAAAUUUACCAAGCUGCUUAAAAAACUUAGACCUGGAUAUGAGCCACCAAAUAGAAAACAGAUAUCUUCAGAACUCUUAGUAAAGAUAAAUGAAGAAGUAAUCAAUUUAAUGAAAAAUGAUCUUGCUGAUGAUAGUGCUGUUGCCCUAAUUUAAGAUGGUUGGAGUACAUUCAGUAAUGAUCCUAUAAUUGCUCAUAGCAUCCAUAGUAAAAAUAAACCUUAUCUCAUUUCUGCAAUUGACACUAGAAGCCAAUCAAAAACAGCAGAAUAUUGCGCUCAAGCUGCUAAGGAUGCAAUUAAAAUUGCUAAAGAAACGUUCAAUAAAGAUGUAUUUGCAGUAUGCACUGACAACGAAAAUAAAAUGUCUAAAAUGAGAAAACUUUUGCAGGCUGAAGCCCCUAAGUUGAUAACAUUUGGUUGCUCUGCUCAUUUUUUAAAUUUGGUUGAAAAGGAUGUCUCUCCAAAGUCUAUAGUAAAGCAUAUUAUAGCAAUUCAUAAAUAUUUUCGUAAUCAUCACCAACCACAUGGUUGGUUAUUGGAAAAAGGUGGACUGAUGCCACAGCUACCUAAUGAUACUCGCUGGAACUCCCAACUAGAUUGUUUACAGACAUACAUAUCUAAUCAUUCUCUGUACGUUGACAUUAGAGUUGAGC